CCCACUCCCCUGUACUUUUGAUAAUUCACACAUUUAUACUUCAUAAGGUCACCCAAUGGCAUGUAAUUCACCUUCUGGAGAUGCUGCCAUUAUUUUUUUGACAAAGAUCGAGAUAAAUGGAGUGUCAAAAACGGGCUCCAUGAGGCAGUGGAGUGUGGGGAUAUGCUGGUUGAGUGCCAUGAAUGCACUUUGCAGGCACAUGUUGUGGAGAACAGUCUUGGCCUUCUGUACCAUCACUAGGACAAGAGCAAUGCUGAGGUUUCCAGUUUGGACAAGAGAUACACUGACAAAAAAACUCUGGGAAAGUGCUAACUCUGGAAUAACAGUAUGAGAUUUACAGGGCCAAAGAAUACUUUUUUUCAUCUUUGCCCUAUCAGCUAAAAAAAAACAUGGUGGAUGGGGACCAGAAGGUCAUCCUCACAGAAUGUGCAGCUUGAAGAAGACUGUGGAGGCCUGGAUGUCAGGGGUCAGUCCUUCCAUUUGGUGAACAUUUCUAAAGGAUGGCAACCUGUGCACUGCUUAAUGCUCCGAGAAGGUUACCGGGUCUUU